AUGCCUCGCUGCUGGUCUCGUGCAGAGCCCCUCCUCCUCACGGCCAUGGCGCCCAUCGGUGCCCGCACGUUGCUGUUGCUUCGCUGCCCCUGGCCCCUGCCUCGUUCGACCACCACCAUCGCCUCCUUGCUGCUGACCCUUGUGUUGUUUCGUGUUGUACCGUCAAGACCGCAAGUACGACUACCACACCAGAACGCCAAGUACUUGGUUAUGCCGAGUUUCUCUCUGAACGUGUGUACAACUACCGUGGCUGAAGAUCCGUGUACGACUAUCUUCUACAAAGAACCGUGUAACGGAACCGUCAAGUUCGACUACGACUCGUGUACUACGCGGGAUUCCUCGGACGCCAAGUUCAACGAUGCGUCAAGUUCCUUACCAUGA
rnacentral:rRNA from 1 species